AUGCAGCUCAACUAUCUCAAGGCAUGCAUACGUGAGGCAUUCCGCCUCCACCCAAUCGCUCCCUUCAACCUGCCGCACGUCGCGAUUGCCGACACCAUUGUUGCGGGCUACCGCGUGCCCAAGGGUAGCAACGUCAUCCUCAGCCGGCUGGCCCUGGGCCGGAACCCCACCGUCUGGGAUGAACCGCUCCGCUUCAAGCCGGAGCGCCAUAUGGGAGAUAACAUCAAUGUGGUGCUUACUGAGAGCGAAUUGCGGUUCAUCUCCUUCAGCACCGGACGACGGGGAUGCAUCGCGGCAUCACUAGGAACAACCAUGAGUGUCAUGCUCUUUGGCAAGCUCCUGCAUGGCUUCACCUGGACCAAACCGGCUCGGGUGUCGACCAUCAAUCUCAGCGAGUCCAAGCACGACCUCUUCAUAGAGAAGCCGUUAGUGCUACAUGCUGAGCCACGUCUUCCAGUGCACCUCUACCCUCUCAUGCAUUGUUGA
rnacentral:rRNA from 1 species